rnacentral:rRNA from 1 species
GACGAACGCUGGCGGCGCGCUUAACACAUGCAAGUCGAACGGAAAGGCCUGCUUUCCCUUGUGGAUUGCGGGUACUCGAGUGGCGAACGGGUGAGUAACACGUGAGUGAUCUGCCCCCAACUUGGGUAUAAGCCUGGGAAACUGGGUCUAAUUCCCGAUAGGACUGCAGGGUGGUGCCUGUGGUGGAAAACGAUUUUCUAGUGGUUGGGGAUGAGCUCGCGGCCUAUCAGCUUGUUGGUGGGGUAAUGGCCUACCAAGGCGGCGACUGGUAGCCGGCCUGAGAGGGUGGACGGCCACAUUGGGACUGAGAUACGGCCCAGACUCCUACGGGAGGCAGCAGUGGGGAAUAUUGCACAAUGGGCGGAAGCCUGAUGCAGCGACGCCGCGUGGGGGAUGACGGCCUUCGGGUUGUAAACUCCUUUCGACCGCGAGGAAGCCACCUGGUUGGAAGGGUGGUGACGGUAGUGGUAGAAGAAGCACCGGCUAACUACGUG